AUACGAAAGGUGCAAGCGUUGUUCGGAUUUACUGGGCGUAAAGAGAGUGUAGGUGGUUUAUUAAGUCGGAUGUGAAAUCCCGGGGCUCAACCUCGGAACUGCAUUCGAUACUGAUAGGCUAGAGUUUGGGAGGGGUAAGCGGAAUUCCGUGUGUAGCAGUGAAAUGCGUAGAUAUACGGAGGAACACCUGAGGCGAAGGCGGCUUACUGGACCAAUUCUGACACUGAGACUCGAAAGCGUGGGUGGCAAACAGGAUUAGAAACCCCAGUAGUCC
rnacentral:rRNA from 1 species